rnacentral:lncRNA from 1 species
AAAAACAAAAGCUAAAAAGAAGCCACGUAAACGUUCAGAUAGUUCUGGAGGUUAUAACCUUUCAGAUAUUAUUCAGAGUCCAUCAUCUACAGGAUUAUUAAAGUCUGGUAAGACCAAUUCUGUGGAAUCUCUUCCAGAACUGUUGACAUCAGACUCUGAAGGAAGCUAUGCAGGAGUGGGUAGUCCUAGAGAUUUACAGUCCCCUGAUUUUACAACAGGAUUUCAUUCAGAUAAGAUUGAGGCGAAAGUCAAACAAUAUGUUAAUGGUACAUCUCCUGUGUAUUCUAGGGAAGAUUUAAAACCAUGGGAAAAGUCACCAAUACUUAAAAUAUCUGCUCCACAGCCCAUUCCCAGUAACAGAAUUGAUACUACCAGCUCUGCCAGUUGGGUUGCUGGUUCUUUCAGGUCCUGUCAGCCCUCCUGUUGUGGAUCUCAGAACUAUCAUGGAAAUAGAAGAAAGUAGACAAAAAUGUGGAGCUACACCAAAGUCACAUUUAGGCAAAACAGUUUCUCAUGGAGUUAAACUUUCUCAGAAGCAACGAAAAAUGAUUGCAUUGACUACCAAGGAAAACAAUUCAGGAAUGAAUAGCAUGGAAACAGUUUUAUCCACUCCUUCAAAAGCCCCCAAACCAGUGAAUGCAUGGGCAUCUUCUCUGCAUUCAGUUUCAUCCAAGUCAUUCCGGGAUUUCUUACUAGAAGAAAAAAAGUCUGUUACUAGCCAUAGUUCAGGCGAUCAUGUCAAAAAAGUUUCUUUUAAAGGAAUUGAAAAUUCUCAGGCACCAAAAAUUGUCAGAUGCUCUACCCAUGGUACCCCAGGACCAGAAGGCAACCAUAUUUCAGAUUUACCACUUCUAGACAGUCCCAAUCCCUGGCUAUCUUCUUCAGUGACUGCUCCAUCCAUGGUAGCCCCAGUCACUUUUGCAUCUAUUGUAGAAGAAGAACUACAACAAGAAGCAGCUCUUAUUAGAAGUCGAGAAAAACCGUUGGCUCUGAUUCAGAUUGAGGAGCAUGCCAUACAAGAUUUAUUGGUUUUCUAUGAGGCAUUUGGCAACCCUGAAGAGUUUGUCGUUGUUGAAAGGACACCGCAGGGACCACUGGCAGUACCUAUGUGGAAUAAGCAUGGAUGCUAGUUCACUGUGGAGUUGAGAUGCAUUUUUCAUAAUUAUGAGUUUGUUCAUAUAAAGAAAAGCUGUGGAAAAGAGUCUUAGAGAUUUUGUAAUAUCAUUCUAAAUAGAUUAAGAAAAGAUAUAAUUUCUUUACUGCAGUUAAAUCAUAUAAUGUUUGUAUGAUUAAAAAUAAAUUUCUCAGAAUUAUGAUUUUAGUAACUUUAUAUAAAAUGUGUGAGACAAAAACUUAUUAAGGUUAAAUAGAAUUGUUUCUUCUGAAUAAUCUAACAAAGGAAAAUAUAAGUGAUUGAAUCAUAAGAUGAUAUAAGGGGGGUGAAGUAUUAAAAAUAACUUUUUUGUUUGAUAACUUGAGAAUUUAGAAGAUUUUGCCAAGUAUGUGUUGUUGCUUGACUUCUUAAAUAUGGCAUUGAUGAAUUUAAAGUAGGAGCAUCAGUUAUUACUUCUGAUUCAUUAAUGGCCAGAAUUUUGUGUUUGGUGUAAUAGUUGUGUCACCAUUCUUGUUGCUUUUUAAAAAUCAGGCUAGGCAUGUGGUCCAUGUCUCUUCAAAGCUUGACCUGCACAAAUGCCAUAUUUCUAUUUGGACCACAUAUUCUCCAUUUUGCAUUGAGCAGUAGAGUACAGUGGAAAGGGAAUAAGAAUACUGAUUAUUCUGAACAGUUUAGUCCCAAGAGAAUAGCUUUUAAAAAAAAAAAAACAAAAAACAACAAGAUUUGGAAUCAUUGUGGGUUAUUUUUGGUGGGAUGGAGGAUCUUAAAAAUGCCUAGUUGUGAGAGAAUCAAUUGCUGAAAGUGUUAAAAUUUCUGAAAAUAAAUGCUUAAUUACAUAUACAGGAAUUAAAUAGUUUGGAAGAGGGCUGGAUUGUCAUUACCUUUACAAUACUGUAUAAUCAGAAGUUCUCUGAACCUCAAUUGUACAUCUAGACAUAAAAAUUGUUUUCUGUAUAGGAUGUUGUUUGGUUUGUUUCUGAGUGUUUAAAUUUUUCAAAAACAAAUGUUAAAUUUGUGCUUCAGUACCUAGAUAAAUUGGAAAGGUUAAUGUUCUAGUUUCUGGAAGGUAAGCCUGGGAGACACAUAAGCAAUUCACUGCUAUAAUUUAGUUGAUGUAAAAUGACGGAAACUGACUCAAUAUGUCAGGUUUAACUCUGCCCAAAAGCAGCAGACAUGUAAGCAGAUGUGCAAUAAAAAAUGAUCUUGAU